rnacentral:rRNA from 1 species
GGCGAACCGAGCGAACGUUGUUCGGAAUCACUGGGCUUAAAGGGCGCGUAGGCGGGUGCUCAAGUCUGUGGUGAAAUCCUCCAGCUUAACUGGAGAACUGCCAUGGAUACUGGGUGUCUCGAGGAACGUAGGGGUAUGCGGAACGAUUGGUGGAGCGGUGAAAUGCGUUGAUAUCAAUCGGAACUCCGGUGGCGAAGGCGGCAUACUGGACGUUAUCUGACGCUGAGGCGCGAAAGCCAGGGGAGCAAACGGG